GUCCGGUAUGGGCGCCAAAACACAUAAGGUCUCCAUAUCCCGUCCGGUAUGAGAGACCACAAUCCCGGUAGGGUUUCCUACGGACCCGGUCCAUCUACCAUCUCCCAGGAUAUCUAGUCAGGCUGACCACAUUAUACAAUUAUCAAUUUACAUAAUCUUUCAUUCCCCUUUUCCUCAGUCAGCAUCAUCAAUUCACAUACAAACAAGCAAACCAGUAAUUUAUGCCAAACAAGACAACAUACAACAUCGGGUUCUCAGUCAUUCAACCCAUAAUCAAUAAAACAGUAAUAUAUGCACACGAAACUAUGAAAUGAAAACAUCAGACCUCAUACUGCAUUUAAAACCGUAAAAUAGGCCAAACAAUAGCUAACCGACAAACACACCAGACUCGGGCUCUAUUAGCGACCUUAAACAAUUUCACACAUCUGUUGAUUCUUGAAAUACCGUUUUAUCAUUUAUUGAACUUUAAUACCGUGAUAGGGAAUAGGGUGAGGGGUCCUUACUUGUUUCGGGGUCCGAAUACGGCUCCACAGUGCGCCUACAGGCUGUCCCUAAUUUUCUCUGAAUUUUUUCCGGG
rnacentral:lncRNA from 1 species